GACCGCUGGUGUGAAACCAGAGGAAGGGGAGGGCAACGACAGGUCAGUAUGCCCCGAAUGUCUUGGGCUACACGCGCGCUACAAAGGGCAGGACAAUGGGAUGCUAGGCCGAGAGGCAUUCAAGCUAACCCGAAACCUGUUCAUAGUUCGGAUUGAGGGCUGUAACUCGCCCUCAUGAAGCUGGAUUCCGUAGUAAUCGUGUUUCAAUAUAGCACGGUGAAUAUGCCCCUGCUCCUUGCACACACCGCCCGUCAAACCAUCUUAGUUGGGGGUGGGUGAGGCUGCGCUUUAUGGCGUAUUCGAGCCUGCCUUCGACAAGGAGGGUUAAGUCGUAACAAGGUAACC
rnacentral:rRNA from 1 species